rnacentral:lncRNA from 1 species
CCGUGCUUCAUUUUUAGCUAAGCUGUAUCUGAAUUUUACAGCUUUUUUUUUGGUCUGUUUUCUAAUAAAUCUUUCUGUCAAGCCAAUGUUAGGACACUGGAAAGCUAAGUGUGAUUGGGAAGACUAAAUAUUAUCAUCCAGAUAACAAGUUAGGGAGUAACUAUUAUUAACACUAACAGUAUUAACGAUCUUAUGCCUCCAAAUGUGUGAGGGCAUUACCCCUAAGGAGGGGAGAAAUGGUGAGCAGCUGAGGACAGAAACUUCUUAACCCCAUGUAGAUAAAGCUAGAACACAAUGUCUGCUGAUGCAUGUCACCUGUUCUGAAAUACCUUUUGUGUAUUGAGUUCUUCAGCAGAACUGCUGUCGUGGCUGUGCCGCCCCCAGGAAUGGCUCCUGCAACCAAAAAAAAUUCUCAAACCUUUAAAUAGACAUACUGGACUAAUUAAUUUCAGAUCAUGUGUAUGAUACAUGGCUGUAUAAUGGGAAAAAAUAUUGUGGAAGGAAGGCAGUGCUGAACCAGCUGCUGCAUCUACAGGCAUAAAACUCGAGAGCUUUCUUACCCCUCAGCCAAAGAUCAUUCUGUGAAACCUGGGGUACAGGCAGUAAGUACAGCUUGGACAGGAGUCCUGAAAUAUCAGCUGCAGAAGAGGAGUGUUGUGCACAACAUUUAUUUUCCUGGAAAAUUACUGUCAGAGAAUUCCAUUCCUGAAGUCAAAAGUUCUACUGGAGAAAUUGUGCUUGGAGAAGGAAAUCAUAGUCACUGUCUGGUUACUUGGAAUAGAAGAGAUUUGGAAGAGAUUGGAAGAGAUCUGGAAGAAGGUCAUGCAGAUAUACUUUUAAUUACAAGCAUAUUUUUUGAUUAUCAAGCUUUUUUGCAGUCUAUGCACUUUAUCUGAAAUAUAUAGCAUGAUUUCCAACCCAUUUUACUUUACAUGUCAUUUAUGUUUUCAUUACAGUGGAUGUACGCGUACAUGCCAUACAGAGCAUAAACAUAGUCUGUUGUCCUUAUACAUUGUCUUUGCAAAUAAUCACAGCAAAAAAAAUCACUAAAUUAUUUCUCUUUGAAAUCCAGAAAUUCUUUCAAAAACACAUGAUCACAUUCACCUACCAACAAGAAAAUCUUUUACAGAAUCUACAUGGCAGCUGAUUUAAAGAAAAACAGAACAACUGAAAGUUUGUGUAUGCAUAUCAAGAGCCCAAAAGAUAUAUACUCUCCCAUACUUACACACCCACGUAUGCUGAUACAUCUAAAUAGCUUUGUUUUGAAGUUUGAAUCAGAUUUAAAUGGAAAGUUAUUGAAGAGAACUGUGUGGUCUGAAUUUUAAUCCCUGAACCCACUGGCUUCUUUUUUAUUGCAUGUGGUGUGGCCUUGAAUUGCAGAAUGUUUUAAACAUACAUAAUGAGCUCAAUGUCAAACUGUUGAGCCUUUUGUCUUUAACAAUAAGCACUUAGCUCAACUAAAUGAAUAGAAAUUGCUUUAGUGAAUUACAAAAGCCAAGGUUUUACACUGCACUAAUACUGACAUUAAUUAAUGUAGACAUUGUCAUAUUUUAAAAUAUAUGGGAUUAAAAUCAAUGGUUAAAAAGUGCAACAGACAUCAGUAAACAACACAAAUUUUAACAGUCAAAGAUGCUGCAUAAUAGUAUUUCUUCCACAAUGAGUAAUGCUUUUUUUCUGAUUCAUUUGCAUUUAUAUAGGCUACAUUUAGAACAUAUAUGGUACUGGUUGAAUGGCAAGAAUCUGAAAGAAAGAAUGUAAACAGUAUGUGUAAUUUCUCUAAUUUGGAAAGAGAUUAGAUCUCUAAUUCAUAGCAGACACUUUCUCCUUCCAUAUUUUGUGAAGGGCACUUGCAGCAGGAUAACUUUUUUAAUGUUGGAAAAGAAGAGAUCUUAUUUUCUUUCCCCAAAAUCAGGAGGAGUAUUCAGAAAUUUACAGUAAAUGGCAAUUCAUCCUUUAGAAAUUCCUUCAACCUACUAUUAGAGUUGCUGCCAGAGAUCUGAAUGCUUUUGCCUAAAUCUCUGUAAUCCAAUAAGCUUUUGUGUUUAGCAGCUUGUUUUGAAACUUGUAUAGCACCCCAGCCUGUGUCUCUGUAUGUUCCUUUGCAGGCAGGUGAGUGCCCCAGGGCCUGAUUAUUAUUCAAGCCAGGAGGCCUUCACAGCCCCAACCAGAAUGUAAUUUGUAAUUAACUGUCAUUUACUUCUGUCUGCACUGACUUGUUGUUCAAAAGACAGUGUAUUUGAGCUGGUCACUAGCUUCUCUUUGUUGUGGAUAUGAUGUCUUUCAGAUCUAGUUUUAUUCAUAAUGUUUAGAAAACCAAGUACUUGCACUCUUGAAACCAAAGCAGGAAGGGGAUUUUACUGACUUUUCCUAAAUAAAUUAGGUAUAUGCAAUUAUGAAUACUUAGAU